UUAUUAACUUUAUGGAAAACAAUAUUCACACAAACAACACCGCUUAGAGCAGCUUGGAGAUUAUUAGCCAUGUAAACGGGGAGCAAAAGAGCGGAUUUAACCAACUCUGUACAAACCGGCGCUCCAGGGACAAGACUGCCCGGAGACAGACCCAGCAGAAUCUGGAACGCUAGAGGGAAAAAGUCACACACCCCCGGUUUCGGCGAUUCGUCACAACAAGCGCCAAAAAAGCCGAGACUCCGCACCGGCGAAAACGGCACAGACGACCACAUAAAUCUAGAGCUGGGGGAUUCCGGCGCCC